AACGAACGCUGGCGGCAUGCCUAACACAUGCAAGUCGAACGAGAUCUUCGGGUCUAGUGGCGCACGGGUGCGUAACGCGUGGGAAUCUGCCCUUUGGUUCGGAAUAACAGUUGGAAACGACUGCUAAUACCGGAUGAUGACGAAAGUCCAAAGAUUUAUCGCCAGAGGAUGAGCCCGCGUAGGAUUAGCUAGUUGGUGUGGUAAAGGCGCACCAUGGCGGCGAUCCUUAGCUGGUCUGAGAGGAUGAUCAGCCACACUGGGACUGAGACACGGCCCAGACUCCUACGGGAGGCAGCAGUGGGGAAGAUUGGACAAUGGGCGAAAGCCUGAUCCAGCAAUGCCGCGUGAGUGAUGAAGGCCUUAGGGUUGUAAAGCUCUUUUACCCGGGAUGAUAAUGACAGUACCGGGAGAAUAAGCUCCGGCUAACUCCGUGCCAGCAGCCGCGGUAA
rnacentral:rRNA from 1 species